rnacentral:rRNA from 1 species
ACGCUCGACACCUACGGAGGCAGCAGUGGGGAAUAUUGCACAAUGGGGGAAACCCUGAUGCAGCGACGCCGCGUGAGUGAAGAAGUAUUUCGGUAUGUAAAGCUCUAUCAGCAGGGAAGAAGAUGACGGUACCUGAGUAAGAAGCCCCGGCUAACUACGUGCCAGCAGCCUCGGUAAUCUGAGCGGGCUGGCAAGGC